AACGUAGGUCACAAGCGUUGUCCGGAAUUACUGGGUGUAAAGGGAGCGCAGGCGGGAAGGCAAGUUGGAAGUGAAAUCCAUGGGCUCAACCCGUGAACUGCUUUCAAAACUGUUUUUCUUGAGUAGUGCAGAGGUAGGCGGAAUUCCCGGUGUAGCGGUGGAAUGCGUAGAUAUCGGGAGGAACACCAGUGGCGAAGGCGGCCUACUGGGCACCAACUGACGCUGAGGCUCGAAAGUGUGGGUAGCAAACAGG
rnacentral:rRNA from 1 species